ensembl:lncRNA
CAGCGUAUAUUGCGGGAUAGACAGGAUCCUUUAGCUCAGCGCGACGGUGUGCUCAUAGAGAGAUAUCGAUUCUCCCGUGAGGGUAUUAUUUACUUUUCUCUCUCACUCUCUCUCUCUCUCUCUCUCUCGAUAUAUAUAAAAUCUCCCAACUUACUGUGCAUGCUUCAGUCACCCCUUGCAUGGGAACAGGUAAAAGUGAUGGAGUGUUAUGUCAAACUACACACAAAAAACCCACAAUGUCAAUAAAUGGCACAGUACGUAAAGGGGUGUGACGAGGGGGUGCAGGACCACCACCUGUCUUUUAUUAGGAGUUGGUGGUAUGUGUGUUGGUGUUUCUGGGGUUUGUUUUCCUUUUUCUGCACAGGUAGGCGGGGGGCGGUGUUUGACGGCAUUCCGGCACACCUGCGGCGCAUCGGACGUCAUCAGUGGGAGCAUUUAGGGAGCUGAGUGAUGGACGUCUGAUGUCGGAUUAUUGUCGUUCCCACAAGUGGUAACAGUGCUGCUGCAAGUUUAGUCUGUUGGUUCCGUGCAUCUGAGCUACAUGUUUUAAGACUCAUCUCCUGCCUGCUUUUUUCUCUGCACCAGCCUGUCUCGCCGCCUGCUCGCCUGCCUGUUUCUCUGUGCGCUGGCCUAUUUGUUGGAUCUAUGACAGAGACUUACCUGGCGCUGGCCUGCGAUCGUUGUCUUGUCUGUAUCCUGGUGUUUCAAGUAGCUCUGGUUUGUCCAUCUAUCUGCUUGCAUAUCUCGGCUUCGUUCAUCCUCCUCGGCUCUGUUAUUUGCACAUUUACCUGGUCAUUGUAUAUAGCCCCGUUCCCUUGUAAAUAUUCCCUGAUCACUAUUAAUAAAUCUGCUUCACUGCUAUUCGGUGCCUGUGUGUUUCUGCCACUGAAUCCACUCGUUUAAAUGACCCUAACAUCUUUAUGUGCUCUGCCCUUUUCUUGGUUGCUGUUAUGAACAAACAAACAGAUUAUUUCAGGGUCUCUUGUCAUAGACUAAAAGCAAUAUAAGUGAUAAAUAUUACCAUUCUGUGGAAUAUUCUUAUAUUUCACUUUUACUUGUUCCCAUGUUCUAGUGGGUCCUGUUGUGGCUCUAAUGUGACAGAGGAUAUAAUGUAAUAUAAUAUAAUGUGGUAUAAUAUAAUAUCACAUGAUAUAAUGUAAUAUCAUGGAUCACUUACGAGUUUGAUUUGUCAGCAACUUUCUGCCAGCCCUCUCUCCUUGCUUUUGCAGCCUUUGCAGUGUUCCCCUGCGUUUUAAUUAAACUCUGAAACUCCUGAUAUCCCUCAAUCAAGAGUUCUUGCUCUGCUGCCGUAAUACACUGAGUGCGCUCCUUCCACAUCUUCGCCGACCAAUCACAGGGUUGCCGAUCAAUGUUUCUACUAUCGAUGCGUAGCCCCUUUUAAGCCACCCAGUGAUCUCAGAUUACUUAAUCCAGCUGUACUAAUCGUCAACAACAGGUGCGUUCGGAGAACCGGAUUAGCGAGCUCAAAGUUAGCGCGAUGAUUUGAUCUUGGAUGUGUCAUUUGAUCUUGGAUGUAGUAAGCGAGGUACGAAGAACAGGCCCCUGAUGUUCCGGGGUUACUUGUUUUCAAGGGCUCUUCACUGUCAUCUACACUGAUGACUUCUCUUAAACUUAUUAUUUAUUGGCAUUUGGGUUUUUUUUUGUUUUUUUUUUACAUUGUUUUUACGGGAUUGGCUAGAGUGACAGUAAAGUAAUUUUAUUCUAUUCUAUUACCUGCAGACCUGCUGU